ACAAUGCCUUCAUCAAUGAGCAUGGAGAGAAGAGUCCUCCUUAGAGCUUUUGGUGCCGAACUUGUCCUUACUGAUGCUGCAAAAGGGAUGAAAGGGGCCUUAGAUAAGGCUACAGAGAUUUUAAACAAGACACCAAAUUCUUACAUGCUUCAACAGUUCGAUAACCCUGCCAACCCUCAGGUAACAACGAGAACCAGCCAUGUGGCUCUACGUAUAUGUGCACUCCUUUUCUAACCUACCUGCCUGCUGUUUGUCUUCAUUUGGUUUCAAACAGGUACAUUAUGAGACUACUGGUCCAGAGAUCUGGGAGGAUUCAAAGGGGAAGGUGGAUAUAUUCAUUGGUGGAAUUGGAACAGGGGGGACAAUAUCUGGUGCCGGCCGUUUUCUCAAGGAGAAAAAUCCUGGAAUUAAGGUUUCUUUACGUUUCGCUCAACAAAAUCUCCUCUGUUGUAUGUGCUUUGUAGUCCUUAUCAUUAUAUUUGGUCGUCUGUAUUUAGGUUAUUGGUAUUGAGCCUUCUGAAAGUAACAUACUCUCCGGUGGAAAACCUGGUAUGUUUGUGAGUAUUGCCUUUUGUACCUGUCAAACUUUUGGUUCUUUUCUUACAAGUUAUAACUGUUAUUCAUUUUUGUAGGUCCACAUAAGAUCCAGGGAAUCGGCGCAGGAUUUGUUCCAAGGAACUUGGAUAGCGAUAUUCUUGAUGAAGUAAUUGAGGUGUGAGCUUAAACCAGUGUUAUAUUUGUUGAGUAUAAUCUGACACUUUUAACACGAAAUAAUGAAAAACAGUGAAUUAUCUUGUCAAAAUCAACUUAUCUGUUUCUGUUAUUGCACUAUAUCUGCAUAUGCCAUAGAACAGCAGUUACAGAAAUGUAUUCUCCUAAGCUACAUAACUACAUUGGCAUGGUUGUUUCCUUGGGGUAGGGUAGGGUAACAAUCCUAUCCUUUUACUCUUCCUUGUACAGAAGAGUUGUGUGGACUGUUACAGGGUUAUGUUUGUUCCUAUUUAUUUAUAGUUGUUUAUACCUCACUGAUUAUGUUUCAGAUAUCAAGUGAUGAAGCUGUUGAGACAGCAAAACAGUUGGCUGUUCAGGAAGGAUUACUGGUAUCAUAAUUUUUAAUGUUGCUUCCUUUUGUAUUGUGCCUAGGACAUUGUUUUGACAUAUUGCUGUUUUUUGAGACAUGGUCCUUAAUUUGCAAACAUUCAAAUUUUUAGUGCAGGCAAGACAGGCCUGCUAAUGUCCUCUUUUUUUUCUCGCUGUGUAAUUGUGUUGCUAUUUAAGUGCAUGCACUUGCUUCUCAAAUAUGUGGAUAGAAUCAAUUUGUGGGCACCAUUUUUUAGCCUUACCUUAUGUGUUUAUUGAAAGUUAGUAUUUUCUUAGUGGUUAACUUGGACAAACCUGAUCUUUUGUUCUUAAAGGGUUCUGGUCAAUUUUCACUGUUAUAUUAAAACAAACGCAAAGUAGAACAAUUGUAAUUGGCUAGCAAGAUAUGUGACAGUAUAUGAACUUAGGAACUAACAAAACCAUAUUCAAGCAGUGUCGCGCUUGGUAGUUUUGUUUGAUCUACGGCCAAGAGCAUCAUUUUUUUUUCCUUUUGAAAUGAAACUGAGAAUUGUCAUGCCAUAUAAAAGAUGAGUGAAUAUUGUGUAGGUUGGAAUCUCCUCUGGAGCAGCCGCCGCUGCUGCCAUAAAGGUUGCCAAAAGACCAGAGAAUGCUGGAAAGCUGAUAGUGGUACGUGCAGAAAUGCCAUCUCUGCUAUUUUGCGGAUACCGUUACAUUACAUGAAGUGUGGAUGUUGAGUGCACCUAGAUUAUUAACUUAUAUUAUCAUAUUGUUUCUGUUCAGGUUGUGUUUCCGAGCUUCGGCGAGAGGUACCUUUCAUCUGUCCUCUAUCAGUCCAUAAGAGAAGAAUGUGAGAACAUGCAACCUGAGCCAUGAGGGAGCCGUCACUUUAAGCGGGCAUAGUAAAUGUUUCUGAAAUAAGACGCGUAGCCAGCAUCAGUUUGCUCCACUUGGAAUCAUUUGGCCAUGCUCACUCUAUCCUUUCGCUAGCCUCUAUGACCGGACCUAAACUGGUGUGUGAGAAACAUCCACGACUGUCCUCCCAACUGCUUUCCUAAAGCCAAACGAUAACACUCUCAAUAAUUGUCUAUACGAUUGAAGCUGAUUUGAUUGGUAAUUGUAAACAGCUUGUCUUUGGAUCUUUGAAGUCAAACAAAGUCAGUUGGUUGAAUCAGAUGGAUAUUGUAUGCCUUUUGUGUGUGUGUGUGUGUGAAAAAAAAAUCUGAGUUGUGUCAUUGACGGAUUUCCCCCCAGGUGGAGACGCAACACAUCUGAAGUCCUUUAGCAUGGACCAAAACAAAAUCUGGCGGAUACUGCUGGCUCACCAAGCGUCUGCGGUGGUCAAUUUACUGCUGUAGUCAUGUGCUCAUGGCAAAACUGCAGGAGAGAACAUACCGAUUGACGCGCCAAAAGAACGUGCAGCUGGCCCCGUCGAUCCCGUUCCCGUCCACGCGACUUGUGGUUUCGACACCUCCGCUCGCAUGUUUGCCUGUGCCACGCACGACUCCUUCGACUCUGCCUGAGCUACGCGUGGCCUCGGCAACCCCACCUGCGCCAAGCGUGACCCGGCGCCUCCGGCCUUGCUGG
rnacentral:lncRNA from 1 species